AAAAGCUCCGGCAGUAUAGGAUGGUCCCGCGUCUGAUUAGCUGGUUGGCGGGGUAACGGCCCACCAAGGCGACGAUCAGUAGCCGGCUUGAGAGAGCGGACGGCCACAUUGGGACUGAGACACGGCCCAAACUCCUACGGGAGGCAGCAGUGGGGAAUAUUGCACAAUGGGGGAAACCCUGAUGCAGCGACGCCGCGUGAGUGAAGAAGUAUUUCGGUAUGUAAAGCUCUAUCAGCAGGGAAGAAAAAAGACGGUACCUGACUAAGAAGCCCCGGCUAACUACGUGCCAGCAGCCGCGGUAAUACGUAGGGGGCAAGCGUUAUCCGGAAUUACUGGGUGUAAAGGGUGCGUAGGUGGCAUGGUAAGUCAGAAGUGAAAGCCCGGGGCUUAACCCCGGGACUGCUUUUGAAACUGUCAUGCUGGAGUGCAGGAGAGGUAAGCGGAAUUCCUAGUGUAGCGGUGAAAUGCGUAGAUAUUAGGAGGAACACCAGUGGCGAAGGCGGCUUACUGGACUGUCACUGACACUGAUGCACGAAAGCGUGGGGAGCAAACAGGAUUAGAUACCCUGGUAGUCCACGCCGUAAACG
rnacentral:rRNA from 1 species